AAGAUUAUAGUUUCAGGGAUCAUUUCUAUAAUUCAUUACUAAAGGAAUUUUUCUGACUGUGGAACACCAAGACCAUGAGGAUGAGAGGUAGUGUUCCUUCUGGAGGGUGAAACAGGCUCGCCUGUGGCUGCCUCUUGCCACCCAUGGUCGUUCUUUUCCUGUGGGAUAGUGGGAGGGAAGGCAGUCUGGGUGGA
ensembl:snoRNA U3 Small nucleolar RNA U3